GGACGAACGCUGGCGGCGUGCUUAACACAUGCAAGUCGAGCGAUGAAGCUCCUUCGGGAGUGGAUUAGCGGCGGACGGGUGAGUAACACGUGGGUAACCUGCCUCAUAGAGGGGAAUAGCCUUUCGAAAGGAAGAUUAAUACCGCAUAAGAUUGUAGUACUGCAUGGUACAGCAAUUAAAGGAGUAAUCCGCUAUGAGAUGGACCCGCGUCGCAUUAGCUAGUUGGUGAGGUAACGGCUCACCAAGGCGACGAUGCGUAGCCGACCUGAGAGGGUGAUCGGCCACAUUGGGACUGAGACACGGCCCAGACUCCUACGGGAGGCAGCAGUGGGGAAUAUUGCACAAUGGGGGAAACCCUGAUGCAGCAACGCCGCGUGAGUGAUGACGGUCUUCGGAUUGUAAAGCUCUGUCUUUAGGGACGAUAAUGACGGUACCUAAGGAGGAAGCCACGGCUAACUACGUGCCAGCAGCCGCGGUAAUACGUAGGUGGCAAGCGUUGUCCGGAUUUACUGGGCGUAAAGGGAGCGUAGGUGGAUAUUUAAGUGGGAUGUGAAAUACCCGGGCUUAACCUGGGUGCUGCAUUCCAAACUGGAUAUCUAGAGUGCAGGAGAGGAAAGGAGAAUUCCUAGUGUAGCGGUGAAAUGCGUAGAGAUUAGGAAGAAUACCAGUGGCGAAGGCGCCUUUCUGGACUGUAACUGACACUGAGGCUCGAAAGCGUGGGGAGCAAACAGGAUUAGAUACCCUGGUAGUCCACGCUGUAAACGAUGAAUACUAGGUGUAGGGGUUGUCAUGACCUCUGUGCCGCCGCUAACGCAUUAAGUAUUCCGCCUGGGGAGUACGGUCGCAAGAUUAAAACUCAAAGGAAUUGACGGGGGCCCGCACAAGCAGCGGAGCAUGUGGUUUAAUUCGAAGCAACGCGAAGAACCUUACCUAGACUUGACAUCUCCUGAAUUACUCUGUAAUGGAGGAAGCCACUUCGGUGGCAGGAAGACAGGUGGUGCAUGGUUGUCGUCAGCUCGUGUCGUGAGAUGUUGGGUUAAGUCCCGCAACGAGCGCAACCCUUAUUGUUAGUUGCUACCAUUUAGUUGAGCACUCUAGCGAGACUGCCCGGGUUAACCGGGAGGAAGGUGGGGAUGACGUCAAAUCAUCAUGCCCCUUAUGUCUAGGGCUACACACGUGCUACAAUGGUCGGUACAAUGAGAUGCAACCUCGCGAGAGUGAGCAAAACUAUAAAACCGAUCUCAGUUCGGAUUGUAGGCUGAAACUCGCCUACAUGAAGCUGGAGUUGCUAGUAAUCGCGAAUCAGAAUGUCGCGGUGAAUACGUUCCCGGGCCUUGUACACACCGCCCGUCACUCCAUGAGAGUUGGCAAUACCCAAAGU
rnacentral:rRNA from 1 species